GUGAGAGGGAGAAACCUGCUGCCGCUCGCCGCCUCUUUGUCUGCUCCGGGACUUGGAACAAAAGGGGGAAUUCUGAUGAACUCUCUUUCCUCCCCUCUCCCCCGGGCGCCGGGGUAUCUCUCACAACUUUGCCGCCGCGACUUUCUCUGCUGUCAGGCCAGGAAAAAGUGUCCCAGCGCCUCGCAGACUGCAGCGGGGGAAAGGUCUCUUAAAAGUACGACGAAGUGGGGAAGAAGCCAACAAUAUGGAAGUACCAAGACAAGGUCAAAUCAUUCCUGGAUGGAAAGUCAUCACACUUCUUUAUCUGGAGUUACUUAAAAGUUAACGCUGGCAUUUUUGAUGACACCUUCUCUAUAUGGAUUACAGUUUGAUCGCUGGGAAUUCUCCACCUUGAAGAAGCACCCUCAGGUGACUCCAGAUGUAUUAACACCCAGUAUAUUCAGGUAAGAGACUUCAUGGAUGAGGAUGAUUUCCAGGUAAAGGACAACCCUGAUUCACCUUCGUGGCUACAGCUUGCUGCCUGCCCUUCUCUGGCUGCCGCAGACUUCCUGAUGGCCACCACUGCCUUCUUCUCCUUUUUUGCAUUGAUUGAUUGAUUCAUUUCUUAUUUGUGCUAUUUUUCUUUUUUUGGAAUCAUUUUUAGGUAUUCAUACGUGUACAUCGUAACACUGUAAUGAUAUAAAACAUGCAUGGAGUGGUAAGCUCUAACUUCAGGAUAAGGCUUACCCUCUGUAAAGGGAGGCUGGGGCAC